AGACCUCGGAUCAGGUAGGGAUACCCGCUGAACUUAAGCAUAUCAAUAAGCGGAGGAAAAGAAACCAACAGGGAUUGCCUCAGUAACGGCGAGUGAAGCGGCAGCAGCUCAAAUUUGAAAUCUGGCUCCGGGGCCCGAGUUGUAAUUUGUAGAGGAUGCUCCAGGCGAUGUGCCGGUCUAAGUUCCUUGGAACAGGAUGUCAUGGAGGGUGAGAAUCCCGUAUGUGACUGGUGACCUAGCCUGUGUGGAGCUCCUUCGACGAGUCGAGUUGUUUGGGAAUGCAGCUCUAAAUGGGUGGUAAAUUUCAUCUAAAGCUAAACAUUGGCCAGAGACCGAUAGCGCACAAGUAGAGUGAUCGAAAGAUGAAAAGCACUUUGAAAAGAGAGUUAAAAAGUACGUGAAAUUGUUGAAAGGGAAGCGCCGGCGACCAGACUUGGUCCUGGGCGAUCAGCCGUUAUUCUUAGCGGUGUACUCACCCAGGGACAGGCCAGCAUCGGUCCAGAUGGCUGGACAAAUCUCACAGGAAUGUAGCUCUCUCUGGGGAGUGUUAUAGCCUGGGGGGUCAUGCAGCCCAUCAGGACCGAGGAUUAUGCUUUGGCUUGGAUGCUGGCGUAAUGGUCGUCGGCGGCCCGUCUUGAAACACGGACCAAGGAGUCUAACAUCUAUGCGAGUGUUUGGGCCUCAAACCCACACGCGGAAUGAAAGUGAACGGAGGUGGGAACCCACCUGGGUGCACCAUCGACCGAUCCAAAUGUCUUCGGAUGGAUUUGAGUAAGAGCAUAGCCGUUGGGACCCGAAAGGUAGUGAACUAUGCCUGAAUAGGGUGAAGCCAGAGGAAACUCUGGUGGAGGCUCGCAGCGGUUCUGACGUGCAAAUCGAUCGUCAAAUUUGGGCAUAGGGGCGAAAGACUAAUCGAACUAUCUAGUAGCUGGUUCACGUCGAAGUUUCCCUCAGGAUAGCAGUAACGUUUUCAGUUUUAUGAGGUAAAGCGAAUGAUUAGAGGCCUUGGGGCUGAAACAGCCUUAACCUAUUCUCAAACUUU
rnacentral:rRNA from 1 species